rnacentral:rRNA from 1 species
AUUGAACGCUGGCGGCAGGCCUAACACAUGCAAGUCGAACGAGUGGCGGACGGGUGAGUAAUGUCUGGUAAACUGCCUGAUGGAGGGGGAUAACUACUGGAAACGGUAUCUAAUACCGCAUACCAUCGGAUGUGCCCAGAUCGGAUUAGCUAGUGGGUGGGGUAAAGGCUCACCUAGGCGACGAUCCCUAGCUGGUCUGAGAGGAUGACCAGCCACACUGGAACUGAGACACGGUCCAGACUCCUACGGGAGGCAGCAGUGGGGAAUAUUGGACAAUGGGCGCAAGCCUGAGGCAGCCAUGCCGCGUGUAUGAAGAAGGCCUUCGGGUUGUAAAGUACUUUCAGCGGGGAGGCGUUACCCGCAGAAGAAGCACCGGCUAACUACGUGCCAGCAGCCGCGGUAAUAC